GUGUGUUUUCCUCCAGCUGGUUUUUGCUCAGAGAGUCACUUUGCAUCGGCACGUGUUUCAGCUCUCCGAGUGUUUAUAGCCUUCAGACUCACACACUUUAUAACACACGGCUGUUUACCACGGUACAAACCCAACACACACCAUGAAUCUCUUCAGCGGCUUCAUCUGGAUUCUGACAGCUUUUAUUCCAGCAUCCAGAGGAAUCACUGUGACUCAGCCUGAAGUUGUGUCUGUUUCUGAAGGACAAAAAGCCACUAUAGAGUGUAAAACUGAUGCUGGGAUAGAUGGCUAUGGUUUAGCUUGGUAUCAGCAGAAACACGGAGAAGCUCCUAAACUCAUCAUUACUGGGGUAAAUGAUCUCUAUGAUGAGAGUCUCAGUCGAUUCAGUGGGAAUGGAGAAGCAGCAGGAACAGAUUUCACUCUGACCAUCAGUGGAGUCCAGACUGAAGAUGCUGGACAUUAUUACUGUCAGAGUUAUCACUACAUCAACAGUAAAGAUGUGUUCACACAGUGAUAAAGAGUCGUACAAAAACCUCCGUCAGUCAGAGUCACAGUGACUGAACUGAAACUGCAGCUGCUCAAACACACACACACACACACACACACACACACAACAGUGAAGAAACGACUCAAUAUGAUCUUAUUGAACAUAAUUUUCUUGAGCUUCAUCAGUUAUUAAUAUUUUUGAUUGUGAUUUUAUAGAAGUCAUAUUUGUCUC